GACGAACGCUGGCGGCGUGCUUAACACAUGCAAGUCGAACGGAAAGGCCCUGCUUUUGUGGGGUGCUCGAGUGGCGAACGGGUGAGUAACACGUGAGUAACCUGCCCUUGACUUUGGGAUAACUUCAGGAAACUGGGGCUAAUACCGGAUAGGAGCUCCUGCUGCAUGGUGGGGGUUGGAAAGUUUCGGCGGUUGGGGAUGGACUCGCGGCUUAUCAGCUUGUUGGUGGGGUAGUGGCUUACCAAGGCUUUGACGGGUAGCCGGCCUGAGAGGGUGACCGGCCACAUGGGGCCUGAGAUAGGGCCCGGACUCCUACGGGGGGCAGCAGUGGGGAAUAUUGCAAAAGGGGCGGAGGCCUGAUGCCGCAACGCCGGGGGGGGGGUGACGGCCUUGGGUUUGUAACCCGCUUCCGCCUGUGACGAAGCGUGAGUGAGGGUAAUGGGUAAAGAAGCACCGGCAAACUACGUG
rnacentral:rRNA from 1 species